UACGGAGGGGGCUAGCGUUGUUCGGAAUUACUGGGCGUAAAGCGCGCGUAGGCGGACUGGAAAGUUGGGGGUGAAAUCCCAGGGCUCAACCCUGGAACUGCCUUCAAAACUCCCAGUCUGGAGUUCGAGAGAGGUGAGUGGAAUUCCGAGUGUAGAGGUGAAAUUCGUAGAUAUUCGGAGGAACACCAGUGGCGAAGGCGGCUCACUGGCUCGAUACUGACGCUGAGGUGCGAAAGCGUGGGGAGCAAACAGG
rnacentral:rRNA from 1 species